GAUGAACGCUGGCGGCGUGCCUAAUACAUGCAAGUCGAGCGAACAGACGAGGAGCUUGCUCCUCUGACGUUAGCGGCGGACGGGUGAGUAACACGUGGAUAACCUACCUAUAAGACUGGGAUAACUUCGGGAAACCGGAGCUAAUACCGGAUAAUAUAUUGAACCGCAUGGUUCAAUAGUGAAAGACGGUUUUGCUGUCACUUAUAGAUGGAUCCGCGCCGCAUUAGCUAGUUGGUAAGGUAACGGCUUACCAAGGCAACGAUGCGUAGCCGACCUGAGAGGGGGAUCGGACACACUGGAACGGAGACACGGGCAAGGCUCCUAAGGGAGGGAGCAGUAGGGAAUGUUCGGCAAGGGGCGGAAACAUGACGGAGUAAGGCCGCGUGUGAGACGAAGGGCUUGCGAUCGGAAAAACCUCUUUUUAGGGAAAAACAAAUGUGGAAGGAAACAAGGCCGUCUUGAGGGGACCUAAACAGAAAGCCCCGGCUAACUACGUG
rnacentral:rRNA from 1 species